CCCUAGCCCAGAUGGGAACGGCAUCCUUUUGUAGCGGUCCCGAAACCUCGGGACGCCACAAAAGAUAUAGUGGACAGCUGGAAUAGCU
rnacentral:sRNA from 1 species